AUUGAACGCUGGCGGCAGGCCUAACACAUGCAAGUCGAACGAGUGGCGGACGUGUGAGUAAUUUCUGGGAAACUGCCCGAUUGAGGGGGAUAACUACUUGAAACGGUAGCUAAUACCGCAUACCAUCGGAUGUGCCCAGAGGGGAUUAGCUAGUAGGUAGGGUAACGGCUCACCUAGGCGACGAUCCCUAGCUGGUCUGAGAGGAUGACCAGCCACACUGGGACUGAGACACGGGCCAGACUCCUACGGGAGGCAGCAGUGGGGAAUAUUGCACAAUGGGCGAAAGACUGAUGCAGCCAUGCCGCGUGUAUGAAGAAGGCCUUCGGGUUGUAAAGUACUUUCAGCGAGGAGGCGUUACUCGAAGAAGAAGCAACGGCUAACUCCGUGCCAGCAGCCGCGGUAAUAC
rnacentral:rRNA from 1 species